GACAUCAGUUAACAUUGUGACCCCUUCCCUGGAGAGAACAGCAUUACAAUUCUGAAAACAGUUUUUGUAAAUAAUAAUUCACUACUUAAAGCAUGUACCCGAGCUCCUGCUACGCAGUAACUAAAACUGUCUGCAACUCACGUGUCACUUCAUUCUUUAGUUCCUUCUCUUAAGUGUAGAGCCUCUGUCAGAUUGUGUGAUUGAUAAAGAAAAGCACAUAAAUGACAAAAUACCAGUUUGAGUGCCUAGUGGUCUAAUCAGGAAAUGCUCUUUGGAAGCUCAAUAUAUGCACUUAUCCAUUUGCAUUUUGAUUCGGCUGUUAGUGCUGAGGAUGUCCUUAAGGUGAUGUGCUGCUUUUGGCAGAUUUAGUAAUUCUCUUUAGUCACAUGAGCACUAAUGGUUUUUCUAAAUUUGUAUGUUGUUUAUUUUGGAUACAGGCAGAGGAAGCUCAGCGAAAGCUUAAGAGACCGAAUGGAGAGGACCCAGCCCUGCCUCCAUUCUGCCCACUGUUUGCCAGCUUGGUAAACAUUCUGCAGUGUGACGUGCUGCUUGGCAUGCUGGGAGCUGUGUUGCAGUGGGCUAUGGAGCCCAGUGGAGGACACUGGUCUGAGUCCAUGCUGCAGAGGGUGCUGCACUUGAUAGGCAUGGCUCUGCUGGAGGAGCAGCAACAGCUAGAGAACAUUGGGGAUGACGAUGAAGUUGCUUUCAACUUCACCCUCAAAAUCUCCCAUGGUGGUUAGCAUUAAAACGAUGCGCGAGUGCACAGCUGCUGCACCUCCCUGUGAAGGAACAGGGCACUGUCACAAGGAGACUGUGUGGGACAAAGCAGAGAGAAAAAGGAAAGCUGAACUGUGCUGGAAAAAGACCAUGGCUCAAACAUUACAGAGUCAUUUUAUCAAUAAGUACAUAGAUCUGCUCACACAGGAUUCAGAGGAUCUGGACGCCUCAGCCUCUACAUCAGCAGAGCAUAGGUACCUAAGCAUGCUCUAUAGAACAACUGAACAGCAACGUUUCCAUACAGGUUUUAGUGAAAUGUUUAACAAUAGCAACUUGACUUGAAAUGGAUGAUGUUUCAUUAGCGUGGCCUGUGCCCAAAUCCUGCACGACUGCGUAUCUAGGUACACUACACACGGUCUGAACGAAUGGAGUCUCUACCGCACCUAGUGCACUAGAGAUAGAGAUUCCAUACAAGGUGAUUUGGGACGGAGCCAGUGCACAGAAACCGUUUCCCUGCGAGAGGCGCAGGUGGAGCAGGAGCUGUGUGACUGAUUUGUGCACCUGUGACUACAGAACUACCUCAAGUCUCCACACAGAGAGCUGUUCAAGAGAAAAACACCCCUAAAGAACAAAUCACUGCGCCAGCGAGACAUCAACCCUUUAACUAGACGUUCAUCCCAAUUCCACACAAAUACCGCGGAACUAUUUAGGGCUGAGAGACAGUUCAAAAAGCACUGAAAAUAAAGUGUUAGUAACGAGGCCGCGUUGCUGGUCACGCGCGGUGUAGACGCGCUGAUACAGAGUGUAGCGCGAGUAAGAUCUGUAAUGUCUAAUUCAAAUAUUAUGAUCAAAAGUAAAAUAAUGUCUAAAGACACCGAGAUACAGAAACCACAAGGUGCAGUGAAAGUGAGUUUUUAUUAUUCAUUUAGGACUGGAGUUUAAUUCUGUGCUUUUUGUGCAUCCAUAAAAAAUAAUGCUAUCUAUCUAACUAUUUAUA